rnacentral:rRNA from 1 species
UACGAAGGGGGCUAGCGUUGCUCGGAAUCACUGGGCGUAAAGCGCACGUAGGCGGAUUGCUAAGUCAGGGGUGAAAUCCUGGAGCUCAACUCCAGAACUGCCUUUGAUACUGGCAACCUUGAGUCCGGGAGAGGUGGGUGGAACUGCGAGUGUAGAGGUGAAAUUCGUAGAUAUUCGCAAGAACACCAGUGGCGAAGGCGGCUCACUGGCCCGGUACUGACACUGAGGUGCGAAAGCGUGGGGAGCAAACAGG